rnacentral:rRNA from 1 species
UACGGGGGGAGCAAGCGUUGUUCGGAUUUACUGGGCGUAAAGGGCGCGUAGGCGGUCAGCACAAGUCAGUUGUGAAAUCUCCGGGCUUAACUCGGAAAGGUCAACUGAUACUGUGCGACUAGAGUGCAGAAGGGGCAACUGGAAUUCUCGGUGUAGCGGUGAAAUGCGUAGAUAUCGAGAGGAACACCUGCGGCGAAGGCGGGUUGCUGGGCUGACACUGACGCUGAGGCGCGAAAGCUAGGGAGCAAACGGG